rnacentral:rRNA from 1 species
GACGAACGCUGGCGGCAUGCCUAAUACAUGCAAGUCGUGCGAAUUGACGAAGUACUUGUACUUCUGACGUUAGCGGCGAACGGGUGAGUAACACGUAAGGAAUCUACCUAUAAGCGGGGGAUAACAUUCGGAAACGGAUGCUAAUACCGCAUAAUACAUAUUUCCGCAUGGAAAUACGUUGAAAGACGGCUCUGCUGUCACUUAUAGAUGACCUUGCGGUGCAUUGGUUAGUUGGUGGGGUAAUGGCCUACCAAGACGAUGAUGCAUAGCCGACCUGAGAGGGUGAUCGGCCACAUUGGGACUGAGACACGGCCCAAACUCCUACGGGAGGCAGCAGUAGGGAAUCUUCCGCAAUGGGCGAAAGCCUGACGGAGCAAUGCCGCGUGAGUGAAGAAGGCCUUCGGGUCGUAAAACUCUGUUAUAAGAGAAGAACAAAUUGUAGAGUAACUGCUACAGUCUUGACGGUAUCUUAUCAGAAAGCCACGGCUAACUACGUGCCAGCCGCCGCCGUAACAC